rnacentral:tRNA from 1 species
GGAGAGGUGGCAGAGUGGUCUAACGCGCCGCACUCGAAAUGCGGUGUGGCCGAAAGGUCACCGGGGGUUCGAAUCCCUCCCUCUCCGCCA